UACGAAGGGGGCUAGCGUUGCUCGGAAUCACUGGGCGUAAAGGGUGCGUAGGCGGGUCUUUAAGUCAGGGGUGAAAUCCUGGAGCUCAACUCCAGAACUGCCUUUGAUACUGAGGAUCUUGAGUUCGGGAGAGGUGAGUGGAACUGCGAGUGUAGAGGUGAAAAUUCGUAGAUAUUCGCAAGAACACCAGUGGCGAAGGCGGCUCACUGGCCCGAUACUGACGCUGAGGCACGAAAGCGUGGGGAAGCAAACAGGG
rnacentral:rRNA from 1 species